rnacentral:rRNA from 1 species
UACGUAGGGGGCUAGCGUUGUCCGGAAUCAUUGGGCGUAAAGCGCGUGUAGGCGGUCCGGUAAGUCCGCUGUGAAAGUCGGGGGCUCAACCCUCGGAUGCCGGUGGAUACUGUCGGGCUUGAGUACGGAAGGGGCGAGUGGAAUUCCUGGUGUAGCGGUGAAAUGCGCAGAUAUCAGGAGGAACACCAAUGGCGAAGGCAGCUCGCUGGAACGGUACUGACGCUGAGGCGCGAAAGCGUGGGGAGCGAACAGG